CACCCUCAGAGGCCACGUGCUGAAGAUGGCAGAGCUAAAAGAUGGAAGAAGCCUGCAUCCCUGAGGUACUUCAUGAAAGGAUCCAACCAACAGAGCUGCCCAGGACUUUACAUGAAUUUUGAAGAUCUUACUGAUGCACUGUGUUUCCCAGGACCAUCUUCCAAAUAAAUUAUUUGCACUUCAAACUUUUCUUCUGGGGUAAACUGAACUAGAAACACGAAGAUUCCUAGAGCUCCAGGUUUGUUCUUUCCUAUAUUAAGAAGAAUGGAAGGCUGAAGAAGACUCCCUUAUCCCUUGGAGAUAGAUGGUACCUUAGGCAUCUGCUAUUCAUGGAAACGUUACAUGCCACAAGCAUAAUGACGACAUGUACAAAGGCCCCUCUGUGACCCCAGGAAAUCAACAGUGCCAAGACUAUUUAAUAACUAUUAAAGUUUUAAAGGACCUUCGAGGGUAAAAAAAGACACAUUGAUGUUACCUAAUGUUUUCUAAAGAAUAUAAAUCUCAUUAUGAGAAAACAAGGGGAAAGAAUAUAACUUUACUGUGUACUAAGGUCAAUGCAACAAAAGGCACCUGAUUUUUUUUUCUCUGAAAAGAAUUGCUUAUAUGCUUCUUAUUUAAUAAUAAACAGAACUUUCAC
ensembl:lncRNA